rnacentral:rRNA from 1 species
AUUGAACGCUGGCGGCAGGCUUAACACAUGCAAGUCGAGCGGAGAUGAGGUGCUUGCACCUUAUCUUAGCGGCGGACGGGUGAGUAAUGCUUAGGAAUCUGCCUAUUAGUGGGGGACAACAUUCCGAAAGGAAUGCUAAUACCGCAUACGCCCUACGGGGGAAAGCAGGGGAUCUUCGGACCGUGCGCUAAUAGAUGAGCGUAAGUCGGAUUAGCUAGUUGGUUGGGUAAAGGCCUACCAAGGCGACGAUCUGUGGCGGGACUGAGAGGAUGAUCGGCCACACUGGGACUGAGACCCGGCCCAGACUCCUACGGGAGGCAGCAGUGGGGAAUAUUGGACAAUGGGCGGAAGCCUGAUCCAGCCAUGCCGCGUGUGUGAAGAAGGCCUUUUGGUUGUAAAGCACUUUAAGCGAGGAGGAGGCUACCUGGAUUAAUACUCUAGGAUAGUGGACGUUACUCGCAGAAUAAGCACCGGCUAACUCUGUGCCAGCAGCCGCGGUAACAC